rnacentral:rRNA from 1 species
UACGUAGGGAGCAAGCGUUGUCCGGAAUCAUUGGGCGUAAAGCGCGCGUAGGCGGCCCCGUAAGUCCGCUGUGAAAGUCAGAGGCUCAACCUUUGAAAGCCGGUGGAUACUGUGGGGCUAGAGUCCGGAAGAGGCGAGUGGAAUUCCUGGUGUAGCGGUGGAAUGCGCAGAUAUCAGGAGGAACACCAAUAGCGAAGGCAGCUCGCUGGGACGGUACUGACGCUAAGGCGCGAAAGCGUGGGGAGCGAACAGG